rnacentral:rRNA from 1 species
AGCCGACCUUGAAAUACCACCCUUUAAUGUUUGAUGUUCUAACGUGGACCCGUUACCCGGGUUGCGGACAGUGUCUGGUGGGUAGUUUGACUGGGGCGGUCUCCUCCUAAAGAGUAACGGAGGAGCACGAAGGUUGGCUAAUCCUGGUCGGACAUCAGGAGGUUAGUGCAAUGGCAUAAGCCAGCUUGACUGCGAGCGUGACGGCGCGAGCAGGUGCGAAAGCAGGUCAUAGUGAUCCGGUGGUUCUGAAUGGAAGGGCCAUCGCUCAACGGAUAAAAGGUACUCCGGGGAUAACAGGCUGAUACCGCCCAAGAGUUCAUAUCGACGGCGGUGUUUGGCACCUCGAUGUCGGCUCAUCACAUCCUGGGGCUGAAGUAGGUCCCAAGGGUAUGGCUGUUCGCCAUUUAAAGUGGUACGCGAGCUGGGUUUAGAACGUCGUGAGACAGUUCGGUCCCUAUCUGCCGUGGGCGCUGGAGAACUGAGGGGGGCUGCUCCUAGUACGAGAGGACCGGAGUGGACGCAUCACUGGUGUUCGGGUUGUCAUGCCAAUGGCACUGCCCGGUAGCUAAAUGCGGAAGAGAUAAGUGCUGAAAGCAUCUAAGCACGAAACUUGCCCCGAGAUGAGUUCUCCCUGAGACUUAGAGUCUCCUGAAGGAACGUUGAAGACGACGACGUUGAUAGGCCGGGUGUGUAAGCGCAGCGAUGCGUUGAGCUAACCGGUACUAAUGAACCGUGAGGCUUAACCUUACAACGCCGAAG